UACCAGCACCCCGAGUGGUCGGGACGUUUUAUUGGGCCUAAAGCAUCCGUAGCCGGUUCUACGAGUCUUCCGUUAAAUCCAACUGCUUAACAGGUGGGCUGCGGAAGAUACUAUAGAGCUAGGAGGCGGGAGAGGCAAGCGGUACUCGAUGGGUAGGGGUAAAAUCCGUUGAUCCAUUGAAGACCACCAGUGGCGAAGGCGGCUUGCCAGAACGCGCUCGACGGUGAGGGAUGAAAGCUGGGGGAGCAAACCGG
rnacentral:rRNA from 1 species